rnacentral:misc_RNA from 1 species
UCUAUGGAGACUUGUUGGUAUAGUUCACUUCGUGAACUAUACCAACUAAGAAGCCACUUUUCUACUGUUCAAUUUUGAAGGACCAAGAGGCUUAACUCUGUUAAGCUUUUUGAAUCCUUAGUUCUUUGAAAACUGCACAACAACAAGCAAAGGUAAAGAAAUGCAAUGACAUAAUU